rnacentral:rRNA from 1 species
GAUGAACGCUGGCGGUGUGCCUAAUACAUGCAAGUCGAGCGAACAGACGAGGAGCUUACUCCUCUGACGUUAGCGGCGGACGGGUGAGUAACACGUGGAUAACCUACCUAUAAGACUGGGAUAACUUCGGGAAACCGGAGCUAAUACCGGAUAACAUGUUGAACCGCAUGGUUCGACAGUGAAAGACGGUCUUGCUGUCACUUAUAGAUGGAUCCGCGUCGCAUUAGCUAGUUGGUAAGGUAACGGCUUACCAAGGCAACGAUGCGUAGCCGACCUGAGAGGGUGAUCGGCCACACUGGAACUGAGACACGGUCCAGACUCCUACGGGAGGCAGCAGUAGGGAAUCUUCCGCAAAGGGCGAAAGCCUGACGGAGCAACGCCGCGUGAGUGAAGAAGGUCUUCGGAUCGUAAAACUCUGUUAUUAGGGAAGAACAAAUGUGUAAGUAACUAUGCACGUCUUGACGGUACCUAAUCAGAAAGCCACGGCUAACUACGUG